CGAGACGCCCGGUGACUUCUGCUGGCACCUGCUGCCCUCGGCAUCACCUCCCUCAUCCCCCUGGAGGGCACGCUGGAAAGCUGCAACUCCCCACCCUCCGCACAGGAGCGCCCCGUAGACGCGCAGAUGGGCCCAGCCACCCAGCGGGGCGGCAGCCCCGAACACACAAGUUUGGAGAGCGCGCGAGGCACCUGAAAGUGGUUGGGGUUUGGAAGCAAAAGGGUGACACCUGCUGUUCGCUGGGACCGCUGUGCGGGUGUGGGCGUCGGUUUGGAAACGUCCUUUGCCUGAGCUCUGCUUGAACCUGGGUGCCAGAGACUACCUGGGACAGCUCUACUGACGUCAUCAGCACAUGAUUCUGGCCUCAUUAACUCUAAUUUGGGAAAAGUGCUUCUGGAGGAAAGGGAAGAAAUUCUAAGGCUGUGUGCCCCAUUCUUAUUACUCUAUCUCAGUGGGUCUCAAUCCCGGCUACACAUUGGAAUCACUUGGAAAGCUUUAAAAAUAAAACCAAACCUGUGCUUGGGCUCCACCUAGGUGUUCACCACAGCUGUCAGUAUAAAUCAAUGCGUCUUGGUUCCAUUCUUCAUCAUUUGCUGGUAGCUAAAUUAUGGUAAAUUAAGCUAAGGACAUUUUAAAAUCCUGUUUAAUUUGUCCACAUGCUAAAUAUCCCAGCACACGAGAGAAAAAGCAGCAUGUACUUGGAUAAGACAAACCUAGGGCUUCCUUCGAGUUAAGGAACAGUCUUGGAAGUCUUGUUAUAGUUAAUGUUUUUUUGAGUGGAUGAGCAAAUGAAUGAAUAUACAAAUGGUUAUGCACACAAUUAAGCAAACUGCUUGAUCACAUUCCUCCUUUUGGUUUUGCUUCCUCUACCUGUCAGUUGUCCUG
rnacentral:lncRNA from 1 species